rnacentral:rRNA from 1 species
AUUGAACGCUGGCGGAAUGCUUUACACAUGCAAGUCGAACGGCAGCACGGGGGCAACCCUGGUGGCGAGUGGCGAACGGGUGAGUAAUACAUCGGAACGUGCCCAGUCGUGGGGGAUAACGUAGCGAAAGUUACGCUAAUACCGCAUACGAUCUACGGACGAAAGCGGGGGACCGUAAGGCCUCGCGCGAUUGGAGCGGCCGAUGUCAGAUUAGGUAGUUGGUGAGGUAAAGGCUCACCAAGCCGACGAUCUGUAGCUGGUCUGAGAGGACGACCAGCCACACUGGGACUGAGACACGGCCCAGACUCCUACGGGAGGCAGCAGUGGGGAAUUUUGGACAAUGGGCGCAAGCCUGAUCCAGCCAUUCCGCGUGCAGGACGAAGGCCUUCGGGUUGUAAACUGCUUUUGUACGCAACGAAAAGGCUCUGGUUAAUACCUGGGGCUCAUGACGGUACCGUAAGAAUAAGCACCGGCUAACUACGUGCCAGCAGCCGCCGUAA